GUGACAGCCUGCUGCUGUUCAGGCAGAACACAAGGCUAACUGGCAGGGGGCUGCUGCCCCUCCUGCUCCGUGCAAAGUUGGGGUUAAACAGGGAAAUCUGAGGCCUGCCUGUGACCUUCAGGAGGACAUUACUUCUCUCCCACCGCUCCCCAGUACCUCUGGGACUCUGCAAACCCAACUGCUCCAAGACCAGAGGAGACCUCCAGAUUGGUGCCCCAUGGCUCCCAGGCAGGAGGAGGCUUCCAGAUAGGUGUGCUGUGGCUUCCAGCAUAGAGGAAGCUUCUGGGUAGGCAUGCCACAGCUCCGAGCCCAGAGGAGGUGAGCCAAGCACGCACCAGGAACACACACCCAUCCUACCCACCCCCCAGGGUCAAAAUGAGAAGACAGAUAAAUAAGCCACAGAACCAGACUUCCAGAUCACCUACAGCAACCCCAAAGGAAAACAAGAUGGAACACUCUGAUACUCAACCACCUGGACUCCC
rnacentral:lncRNA from 1 species